AAUGCGUAGAGAUCUGGAGGAAUACCGGUGGCGAAGGCGGCCCCCUGGACAAAGACUGACGCUCAGGUGCGAAAGCGUGGGGAGCAAACAGGAUUAGAUACCCUGGUAGUCCACGCCGUAAACGAUGUCGAUUUGGAGGUUGUGCCCUUGAGGCGUGGCUUCCGGAGCUAACGCGUUAAAUCGACCGCCUGGGGAGUACGGCCGCAAGGUUAAAACUCAAAUGAAUUGACGGGGGCCCGCACAAGCGGUGGAGCAUGUGGUUUAAUUCGAUGCAACGCGAAGAACCUUACCUGGUCUUGACAUCCACAGAACUUUCCAGAGAUGGAUUGGUGCCUUCGGGAACUGUGAGACAGGUGCUGCAUGGCUGUCGUCAGCUCGUGUUGUGAAAUGUUGGGUUAAGUCCCGCAACGAGCGCAACCCUUAUCCUUUGUUGCCAGCGGUUAGGCCGGGAACUCAAAGGAGACUGCCAGUGAUAAACUGGAGGAAGGUGGGGAUGACGUCAAGUCAUCAUGGCCCUUACGACCAGGGCUACACACGUGCUACAAUGGCAUAUACAAAGAGAAGCGACCUCGCGAGAGCAAGCGGACCUCAUAAAGUAUGUCGUAGUCCGGAUUGGAGUCUGCAACUCGACUCCAUGAAGUCGGAAUCGCUAGUAAUCGUAGAUCAGAAUGCUACGGUGAAUACGUUCCCGGGCCUUGUACACACCGCCCGUCACACCAUGGGAGUGGGUUGCAAAAGAAGUAGGUAGCUUAACCUUCGGGAGGGCGCUUACCACUUUGUGAUUCAUGACUGGGGUGAAGUCGUAACAAGGUAACCGUAGGGGAACCUGCGGUUGGAUCACCUCCUU
rnacentral:rRNA from 1 species